rnacentral:rRNA from 1 species
AUUGAACGCUGGCGGCAGGCCUAACACAUGCAAGUCGAGCGGUAACAGUCCUUCGGGAGCUGACGAGCGGCGGACGGGUGAGUAACGCGUAGGAAUCUACCCAGUAGAGGGGGAUAGCCCGAGGAAACUCGGAUUAAUACCGCAUAAACUCUAUGGAGCAAAGGGGGCUUCGGCUCUCGCUACUGGAUGAGCCUGCGUGGGAUUAGCUAGUUGGUUAGGUAAUGGCUCACCAAGGCGACGAUCUCUAACUGGUCUGAGAGGAUGAUCAGUCACACUGGAACUGAGACACGGUCCAGACUCCUACGGGAGGCAGCAGUGGGGAAUAUUGCACAAUGGGCGAAAGCCUGAUGCAGCCAUGCCGCGUGUGUGAAGAAGGCCUUAGGGUUGUAAAGCACUUUCAGUAGGGAGGAAGGCCAAGUAGUUAAUACCUGCUUGGAUUGACGUUACCUACAGAAGAAGCACCGGCUAACUCCGUGCCAGCAGCCG